rnacentral:rRNA from 1 species
GUCAGAGGCGAUGAAGGGCGUGCUAAUCUGCGAUAAGCGCCGGUAAGGUGAUAUGAACCGUUAUAACCGGCGAUACCCGAAUGGGGAAACCCAGUGUGACUCGUCACACUAUCAUUAACUGAAUCCAUAGGUUAAUGAGGCGAACCGGGGGAACUGAAACAUCUAAGUACCCCGAGGAAAAGAAAUCAACCGAGAUUCCCCCAGUAGCGGCGAGCGAACGGGGAGGAGCCCAGAGCCUGAAUCAGCAUGUGUGUUAGUGGAAGCGUCUGGAAAGGCGCGCGAUACAGGGUGACAGCCCCGUACACAAAAGCGCAUGUGCUGUGAGCUCGAUGAGUAGGGCGGGACACGUGGUAUCCUGUCUGAAUAUGGGGGGACCAUCCUCCAAGGCUAAAUACUCCUGACUGACCGAUAGUGAACCAGUACCGUGAGGGAAAGGCGAAAAGAACCCCGGCGAGGGGAGUGAAAAAGAACCUGAAACCGUGUACGUACAAGCAGUGGGAGCCCCACCACCAAAGCGUUUCGCUUUGUGUGGUGCACAAAGAAGCGUAACGACAGCACUGAAUGACGGUUAACGGAGCGCAAGCGACGUUCAACAUACAAAGUCAAGCAGUGGAGCGCUUUGGGGUGGGGUGACUGCGUACCUUUUGUAUAAUGGGUCAGCGACUUAUAUUCUGUAGCAAGGUUAACCGAAUAGGGGAGCCGGAGGGAAACCGAGUCUUAACCGGGCGUUAAGUUGCAGGGUAUAGACCCGAAACCCGGUGAUCUAGCCAUGGGCAGGUUGAAGGUUGGGUAACACUAACUGGAGGACCGAACCGACUAAUG